AGAAUCAUGAGGAUGCCUUGAUCAUUCCAAAGUUGGCUGUUCUUCGCUUCAUCCCUUCCAGAAAUCAGGACAUUCUACCUAUGUCAUCAUAUUCUCCAAGUAUCAACUGUGGGGUUUCCAAGAAUUAUGACCUCAGAUGAGCAAAUAAGUCUGGGUGAGACCCAGCUCAGAAUCAACACUCUUGGUCCACAUUUAUAUUCAAGAGACCCACGUCAUCCAUGCUUUGUGUUUGAUGUCAAAUAAACUGGGAUGUUAAUUGUUA